AAGAGGGGGUGCCUCCGGCCCGGGACAGCGAGGCUCCAGGAGCCCAAAAGCCCCACGAGCGACGACAGCAGGGCCCGGCUCUGACGGGCGGAGGAAGCGGGUGCAGCGGCGACGCCGCCGCCGGUGAAGGAAGAUGAUUUCUCUCCCAUCUUGACCACCCCCCAGCCUUCGCCAAAAACGGACUCCGCCGGCUUUCCUAGGCCCGGUACCAGUUGUUGGAUCCAAGAGAAUUCCGGAACCCAAACGGUCCAUUACCGCGGCUCUGGGGUGGGCGAGGGGUGAGGGGGCCGGGUUUCCGAGAAGGGGGAGGGGGAAAGCGAUGGCCGCCUAGGAGAGUCACGUGAUUACUGUUUCCGCCGGCUCAAGGAGAGCUCGCGGUAAUUCCGUUUCCCCGCCCUUGUUUCCCCCGCGGGCUGUCGGGAAGAAGGUCCGCGUGCCGGGGCCACCGGGAGGUCGCCCGGUGGGCCGCGCGCAUGCGCACCGCGCCUGCUUUCAAACUCCCGCUAGGAAGGGCCUGGAGCUAUUUUCAGAACCUGUUAGGGUGGGGAGCUGAGGCCCAGGAAGUUAGCCACCGGCGUUUUUGUCACUUGGAAAAUCUCGUCAUCAUCUAGUUAGUCCUAGAAACAAAAUGUUUACAUAUUCAUUGCUUGUUAGGCUUGCCCAAAGCACUUUAUUGGCAGUGAAACCGCUAGUAAUCUGGAGCCCUCGGCUCGUCCACUGCCAGGAUCUGAGCCUGAGGCUUGUGAGCUCGGCCAUCCCCCGCCUGUCUACAUGCUCACCCGCAAGCCAAGCACACCGGAGCUCCCAAUUAAUGAACGCUGAAGAGUAAGGCUGUCCCUACUGCUCACUUCCUCGUUUUCAUCUUUUAGUUAUUAUUAAGCGACCUAACCCAAUAAACAUAUUACCUUGUUGGUAA